rnacentral:rRNA from 1 species
CCAUAAAGUCAUAGUUAGCCUUAACACAUGUGGUCUCAUCUGAUUUUGGAAGGUAAGUGAGGUCAGGUCUGGGCAGGACUUCAAUGGGAGACUACAAGUGAGUCCCAGGAAUCCUGCC